AGUGGCGGACGGGUGAGUAACGCGUGAGAAUCUGCCCUUAGGACGGGGACAACAGCUGGAAACGGCUGCUAAUACCCGAUGUGCCGAGAGGUGAAACAUUUAUGGCCUGAGGAUGAGCUCGCGUCUGAUUAGCUAGUUGGCGGGGUAAGAGCCUACCAAGGCAACGAUCAGUAGCUGGUCUGAGAGGAUGAUCAGCCACACUGGGACUGAGACACGGCCCAGACUCCUACGGGAGGCAGCAGUGGGGAAUUUUCCGCAAUGGGCGCAAGCCUGACGGAGCAAGACCGCGUGCGGGAGGACGGCCUAUUGGUUGUAAACCGCUUUUGAUAGGGAAGAAGUUCUGACGGUACCUAUCGAAUCAGCAUCGGCUAACUCCGUGCCAGCAGCCGCGGUGAUACGGAGGAUGCAAGCGUUAUCCGGAAUUAUUGGGCGUAAAGCGUCCGUAGGUGGUUGUUCAAGUCUGCUGUUAAAGAGUGCGGCUUAACCGCAUAUCAGCAGUGGAAACUGGACGACUAGAGUGCGGUAGGGGUCAGGGGAAUUCCCAGUGUAGCGGUGAAAUGCGUAGAUAUUGGGAAGAACGCCGGUGGCGAAAGCGCCUGACUGGACCUGCACUGACACUGAGGGACGAAAGCCAGGGGAGCGAAAGGGAUUAGAUACCCCUGUAGUCCUAGCCGUAAACGAUGGACACUAGGUGUUG
rnacentral:rRNA from 1 species